rnacentral:SRP_RNA from 1 species
GCCGGGCAUGGUGGUGCGUGCCUGUAGUCCUGGCUACUCGGGAGGCUGAGGUAUGAGAAUCGCUUGAACCCAGGAGGCAGGGGUUGCAGUGAGCCAAGAUCAUGCCACUGCACUCCAGCCUGGGCAACAGAGUAAGACCUUGUCUCAA